rnacentral:misc_RNA from 1 species
GAUGAAGAACGUAGCGAAAUGCGAUACGUAAUGUGAAUUGCAGAAUUCAGUGAAUCAUCGAGUCUUUGAACGCACAUUGCGCCCCCUGGUAUUCCGGGGGGCAUGCCUGUCCGAGCGUCAUUGCUGCCCUCAAGCACGGCUUGUGUGUUGGGCCUCCGUCCUCCUCCCGGGGGACGGGCCCGAAAGGCAGCGGCGGCACCGCGUCCGGUCCUCGAGCGUAUGGGGCUUCGUCACCCGCUCUUGUAGGCCCGGUCGGCGCUUGCCGAUCAACCAAACUUUUUUCCAGGUUGACCUCGGAUCAGGUAGGGAUACCCGCUGAACUUAAGCAUAUCAAUAAGCGGAGGA